UUGUAACUCACGGGGUGCACUAGCAGUGGUGCUGAGAGAAGGCGAAGCCUGAUACCCGCGUACUUUCGAGAACAGCCUGAUCCAGAUAAUGCUGGCGUAGGGAUGAGGCUGCAAUACUCA
rnacentral:ncRNA from 1 species